GCUAGUAAUCGUAGGUCAGCAUACUACGGUGAAUACGUUCCCGGGCCUUGUACACACCGCCCGUCAAACCAUGAGAGUUGGCAACACCCGAAGUCGGUAGUCUAACCGCAAGGAGGACGCCGCCGAAGGUGGGGGUUGAUGAUUAGGGGUUAAGUCGUAACAAGGUACC
rnacentral:rRNA from 1 species